ensembl:lncRNA
CGUUUUUAGUGAAGAAAAUUUACACGGCUCAAAAUAGCCUGGAGUUAAAACUCCCCUACAUAUCCUCACCACCAUUCUAUGCAAAACAAAGAACUCGCUCACCCAGAGGAAAAAAAUGGACAUUAAGUACAUAUUUAAACGUUAUAGUACUGGAUCUAAUCAAGUUUAGAAUUGUAUCACCCUGCUGAACUGAUCGCUAUCUUUCUUUGCCCCCCAGGUAUGCACAUUACAAGGUUCCCUAGAGUCAGAAGAUGGAAGUGGAGAGUUUCACUACAGAUUGUAGCUCUGGACAUCGCCAGGAUAAAGAAAGGAAGGGAAGAAAGAGACGAGAGGGUAAGCAAAGAGGAAGAGAGGAAAAGGAACAGAAGGAGAGAAGAAAUAAAGGGAGCGAGGGAUUGCAAGAAAAGAACGUAAGAAAACACAUAAGUGAAGGAGAGAAAGAAAAUAAAUAAAAAAUGAGAAAGGAAGGAAGCUUCUCUGAUGGGAGCGAGAAAAAGGGAAAGAGUGUGA